UACGAAGGGUGCGAGCGUUAUUCGGAUUUAUUGGGCGUAAAGGGUGCGCAGGCGGAAUGUUAAGUCAAUUGUUAAAUCCAUCAGCUUAACUGGUGGGCUGCGGUAGAUACUGGCAUUCUAGAGAUUGGGAGAGAGGAGUGGAAUUCUCGGAGUAGCGGUAAAAUGCGUAGAUCUCGAGAGGAACACCGAUGGCGAAGGCAGCUUCUUGGCCCAUUUCUGACGCUCAUGCACGAAAGCGUGGGGAGCAAACAGG
rnacentral:rRNA from 1 species